CUCCAGAGGACACAAUGUUCACCCCUCGGUCAGAGAUGCACAAGAAAAACUGCUAUGUCAUGCAUUAAAAAAAACUGGGGUUCUCCACACUCUGUUUAGUAUUACAAGAGCUCUGUUAUGAAACCUAGUGAGCCGUGUUGCUGUCUACUACUGCCUACACUGACAUUAAGACAGCAUGCUAAUUAAAUGAUUUGAAACACUCUACACUGGAAAAAUGUGGAUGAGCUCAGAUUGCUCUUGAUUUCUUUACUUUCAGUUGAUGUAAUUGUCUAAAAUGUGCAGUCUACUCGAUUAUCUGAAGAACUGAAUCUUCGAUUGCCUGAGGGUAAGUACAUUUUCAGAUUUUUAUUUUUGGGUGAAACAUUCCAUUAAAAUGUUGCCAAUGUAGACAGCUCACAAAAUUUCGGAACAGAGCCAAGAAGUUCAUGAAUGCAUAGAUAUUAUACAGUCAAUUGAGUUCAGCCACCAAUCAGACUCAUAAUCUCUUCACCAGAACGCUGUACGCAGAGUAAAUGUUUGUAUGUGAAUCAGUUGUUUGUCCUGGCCGGAUAAAAUAUGUUGCAUAUUUAUUUUUUUCUCCCAUGGACCCUUAACAACACACUAUGCACUGCGGGAUCAUCAGAUGAUUAUCAUGUGUCGCCAAGCUUGACGGUCUCUUGAACGUUUGGGUCGUGGACUCAUCAUUCACGGGUUCACAUGUAGUCCGAAGCCUGCCGCCUCCUGCUGUGAGGUUCUGAAGACGAGACGUCCUGUUUGUUUUUCCACAUCAAGAGAGCUCUUCAGUCGGAAGUCACUCAGAGAACCAGAGGAACUUCCAUGUAAACAUUCAAGUUGUGACCACCAUCAAAUGCAGAGAAGAAGGUCUUCCACUUUCUCACGCUGUAACACAUCAGUAUUCAUCAGGGCUUUAGAAAGCGGUAUGUGUGCCUCUCUAAUUCUGCUCUUGAAGUGAUUCAAUCGACAGUAUGCCAAAUAUGGACAGUAGAAAUGCAGCCUUUUAUGUGUUGUUUUAUGGCAGAUCUGGGGCCCUCGGGUCCACAGAUGAACCGUAGGCUGUGAUCUGUUGUCCUAACAGUGCCAGCGUUUGGCAGGGCUUCAGCUCGCCCUCUUGUCUGCCAUCUAAUUCUACACUUGCCAAACUCUGCAGCCCCCAUCUGCCCUUUACAACAUGACCUCAUCGGCACGGCACAUCCCUCACGUGUUUGAGAGGGACACGGAGUCUAUAAUCAUCGUCUUACAGCACGCUCCAAAAAUACAUUGUAAAACCUGAUAUUACUUGGAUGGCUCACAAAAUCAAUUGCUUUGAUUAGUUUAGUGCUUGAGAGAGACUGCCAACAUGUUCUGGAUUCUCUGCCACAAUCCCAGGACACUCACAAGGGGGUGCAACAUCUAAUUCAACAUCAUUUAAUCUAUUAAAAGGUGAUUUCUGCACCACAAGCUUCACCAAAUGGCAUCACAGUAUUGCUAAUAUAAUGAUUGUUUCCAAACAAGUUUUCCAAACAUAAAUCAGGAAGCGUAGUGUGUUGAAAUGAGCACUUAUUAGAGAAAAUCAGUGUUAUUUUAGUAUAACUUCAUAUGUAUUAUAGUAUUUAUUAAUAUUUGGAGUUCAGUUCGUUUUAAUUUUAUAAAUUCAGUUUUCAUUUUAGUUUACGUUUUGGUAAUUUUACUAUGUACUUUUAAUUUUUUAUUUAAAAAAAUAUUUGUAAGUUUUUGUUUUAAUAAUUAUUGUAGUAAUUCAACUUAAACUUAUUUCAGUUAGUUGCCAGAGCAACAUUUCUAACAUUUCCUUUAAGUUUUUUUUCUUCAGUUUUUUAGUAAUUUUGUAGUGUUUUUAUAAUGUUUGAAUUUUUAUUUUAGUUUUAGUUAAUUUAGUACAUCAAAUU
ensembl:lncRNA